rnacentral:rRNA from 1 species
ACGCACGCUGGCGGCGUGCUUAACACCUGCCAGUCGAACGGUGAAGCGCCUUCCUUUUUGGUGGGUGUGGAUGAGUGGCGAACGGGUGAGGAACACGUGAGUAACCUGCCCCCUUCUUCUGGAUAACCGCAUGAAAGUGUGGCUAAUACGGGAUAUUCUGGGUCUGUCGCAUGAUGGGUCUGGGAAAGAUAUUGUUUCGGUGGGGGAUGGGCUCGCGGCCUAUCAGCUUGUUGGUGGGGUGAUGGCCUACCAAGGCGGUGACGGGUAGCCGGCCUGAGAGGGUGGACGGUCACACUGGGACUGAGACACGGCCCAGACUCCUACGGGAGGCAGCAGGGGGGAAUAUUGCACAAUGGGCGCAAGCCUGAUGCAGCGACGCCGCGGGAGGGAUGGAGGCCUGCGGGUUGUGAACCUCUUUCGCCAGUGAAGCAGGCCUGCCUCGUUUGUGGGUGGGUUGACGGUAGCUGGACAAGAAGCGCCGGCUAACUACGUG